AGCUCCGGUGGCCUAGUGGUUAGAGCUUCCGCCUAGGACGCGGGAGGUCACGGGUUUGAGCGCCGGCCGAGUCA